rnacentral:rRNA from 1 species
GACGAACGCUGGCGGCGUGCCUAAUACAUGCAAGUCGAACGCAGUGGGGACGGGUGAGUAACACGUGGCUAACCUCCCAUCAGAGGGGAUACCACUUGGAACCAGGUCCUAAACCAAUACUCAUGGAUGGACCCUCGGGGCAUUAGCUAGUUGGUGAGUUAACGGCUCACCAAGGCCACGAUGCAUAGCCGACCUGAGAGGUGAGUGGGCCAUACUGGGACUGAGAGCAGGCUCAGAGUCCUACGGGAGGCAGCAGUAGGGAAUCUUCGGCAAUGGACGAAAGUCAGACCGAGGAACGCCGCGUGAGUGAAGAAGGUUUUCGGAUUGUAAAGCUCUGUUGUUAGAGAAGCUGUAUCUAACCAGAGAGCCACGGCGAACUACGUGCGAGCAGCCGCGGUAAUAC